CACUAGCCACAGGAGGUGAGAGACAGGGAGAUGAGCAGAAGCAGGAAAUUAGAGCUGGAGUGACUAGAAGAAGUUUAGGCUCUCAAGACUCCCUGAAGAUACUGGAAGGCAAUAGGAGGAAGGGCUGAGCUGUUUCCUAUGGGAUGCAGGUGGCAGCUCAAGCCAUUGUUAUUCAGGAAGAUCAAUUUUGCGACUAAGGUGAAAUAAUACAGGUGACACAGGAUACGUUCCUUAAAUGUCAGAAAAUGUAGAAAACAAUAUGAAAAAUUUUAACUACACGUUGACAAUAUCCAAAGCACCAGUAAAUGUGCAAAAUAUACCCGGAGCCCUGGCAUCCAAGGAGACCACAGCUUUAGGGAACAAGCUGUGACUGACUGGCUUGUCCCAGGACCAGUGGCAUCUCUCACCAAGGCAUGCCCAGACAUAGGCCUCACGACUCACCUGUUUGCCAUUCUUUCCAAGACUUCCACUUCUGCACACCAGAAGAGGCCCUACAAGACCACUGUUAGUGUCUUUUGUCCCAUUUACUGCGGAGUAGUAGAACCAGGUCAAGCAGCUGGGAUCCGUGGAGCCCAGUGUCCACUCUCCGGGGCCCUUGGCCACCAUGAAGGCAUCUUCCAACGAGGCCGGGAAGACCAUGAUGGUGUCCUUUCUGUGAUUCCGAGAGAUCAGAGUUUGGCCGUGGAGAUAGAUGGAGUGAUCAUUAGCUGCACCACCUAUGCCAACGAAGUGCCACUUGAUCCUGUCUUCUGCACACAUGGUGAGGGGGGGCAGAUUUCCAUAUAUGUACCCAUUUAUGGCUGAGAAUAAAUGUAUAUUUAUGGUAAA